rnacentral:miRNA from 1 species
AUGGGUUGAUAUAUGUGUGUGUACGUGUGUGUGUGUAUAUAUAUAUAUACACACACACACACACACACACACACACACACACACACACACACACAU